rnacentral:rRNA from 1 species
AUGCCCCUGGACUUCAUCAAGCACUUCGCCGCGGUGCCGACGGAGUUCAAGCUGAGCAACAACACCGAAUGCUUCUGGAGGGUGACGGUGAAGCUAAUGAACGACAGGGUAACCGAUCAGGGUUGGGCCACCUUCGCCGUCGUUCAUCAGAUCAAGAUCGGCUACAUGGUGACGUUCAAGCUCCUGACUCCCGACACCCUCAAGGUCAUCAUCUUCGACGACGAUGGCAUUGAGGUGGUCAACAAGUGCGGGGAGCAUGACGAAGCCUUCGCCGUCAGGGACUAG